CUCCAGGGCACUGGACUUAUAUAACCACCUCCACCGCCCCGCUCCAGUUGACAACAUUUUCAGGCUGUGUGCUUUGUAUAAACUAUCCAACUCUCAGGGGAUUAAAACAACAGCCGGUGUGAUUCUGAAGGUUGACUAGACUGGGCUGGGCGUCCUCUUCCACUCGAUGUCCAUCAAGGCUGCGGCCACCUCAGGGCUGGCCUGCACUGGAGCCUCCAGAGGCUGAUUCUUCCAGGAUGGCCCAGAGCAUCCCCGAGCUCAAAGGAGGAGGAGGAGGCUCCAGGUCUCCGAUGGCCAAGCACUGAGACCGCAGCAUCUCUACUUGGAGGUCACAGGAGCCACCCAGGGACCGUGGUCUUCAAACCAGCCCAAGGGAGGCCGCGUGAGGCAUCCGACAUUGAGUCAGAAGACGCGGGAUUUGCCAAGCUCUUCCCCGACCAGCUGCUCUAAUGGGAGCAAACCACAUCCGCCCUCUGAGACUCUGGCCUGGUCCCUGAGAGGAGAGGAGGAAAAAAAAAAAAAAAGCGCACAGGGUGUUCUGAAGGUUCCACAAGAUGAUGUGAGCAUUAACGGGGACAGACAGCCUGGAUCUAUCAACAGCACAGAGCUAGGCUUGACCCACCUGAGGAAAUCUUAUCCCAUGACUCGCUGUCAUAUUGCAAACUUAACCAUAAAGUAAGGCAAGGGAAAAAUUUGCUCCCAGCUUAAAAUUAAGAGCUGGCAGGGCCUCAGAGUUUUUAAGUUGGGUUCAAAUCCUCACGUAGCUCAGUGGAUAAAGCAUCUGCCUGCAAUGCAGGAGACCUGGGUUCAAUUCCUGGGUUGGGAAGAUCCCCUGGAGAAGGGAAUGGCAACCCACUCCAGUAUUCUUGCCUGGAGAAUCCCAUGGACAGAGGAGUCUUUCGGGCUACGGUUCGUGGGAUCACAAGAAUCAGACACGACUUAGCACUAUCUUUCUUUCUUUUCAAAGCCUUACUGGUUAUAUUAGGACAUUGAGUAGAUGAGUAGAAACCCUGUUCUCUUUUCAUUUCCUUCUGUUAACAUCUGACUUCUUCAAAGCUAAUCUCAUUCUCAUCUCAAACUGCAUUUCAGACUUUCAGAGGGGUGGUCUGUUUCCGUUGGCCCGUCCUCCCGAAUCAUCGGUUGCCCCCCACUGCCCCAGGCUUGGCUGCACCCCGUCUUCACACAAACCCUGCAACCUCACACAUUCUUUCAACGUCCCCUGACCGCCAUCUCUGCACCCCACUUCCA
ensembl:lncRNA